CAGCUUUGAUUGGUUCCGGUUGAUAGUUGUGUCCGAUGGCGGGGUCCUUUGCGCUGGUGUUGUCGUCGAUGCUCCUCUUUCAGUGUCUUUCUUGUGUUCAGUUGGACGUUUGCUCAGCGACCUUGAGGUGUGCCCGAUGUGUCUGGCCUCUUGAUCGAAUGUGUUGUCUGCCGCUGGAAUUUCGUAUAUGUCUGGUCUUGAGGUGUUGGGCCUUUUGUCUUUGUCGUUUCUCAUUGGGUUGAGAGCGGUGUUCCUCCUGUUGAGGACUAGUCGUGGGUUGGUGCACUUUUCAGUUUUUCGUCUGUGCCUCAGGGUGGGUGGUUUGAUUUCGAUAUUGGCGAGCGGCCUGUGGCUGUCGUCCACUGGAUUGUUCCUCUUGUCGUUUCUCUUGGCUAUUUUGUUCCACAUGUUGAUAAUCAAAUUCUUACUGUGUCCAUGUCUUGCAGCUUGAUCUAUAAUCCAACGUAGCUCUUUCAUCUGGCUUUCAU
rnacentral:lncRNA from 1 species